UUUCCGUAGGUGAACCUGCGGAAGGAUCAUUAUUGUAUAACCGAGGUGCGAGGGCUGUCGCUGACCCGAAAGGUCGUGCACGCCCGAGUGCCCUCACACACAUCCAUCUCACCCCUAUGUGCACCACCGCGUGGGUCCCCCUUUGGCUUGUUCGGAGGGGGGCUUACGUUUUCACACAAACUUUGUAUGCAGUGUAGAAUGUAUUUUUUGUUUUUGCGAUCACGCAAUCAAUACAACUUUCAACAACGGAUCUCUUGGCUCUCGCAUCGAUGAGAACGCAGC
rnacentral:misc_RNA from 1 species